CGCGGCCUAUCAGCUUGUUGGUGAGGUAAUGGCUCACCAAGGCGACGACGGGUAGCCGGCCUGAGAGGGUGACCGGCCACACUGGGACUGAGACACGGCCCAGACUCCUACGGGAGGCAGCAGUGGGGAAUAUUGCACAAUGGGCGCAAGCCUGAUGCAGCGACGCCGCGUGAGGGAUGACGGCCUUCGGGUUGUAAACCUCUUUCAGUAGGGAAGAAGCGAGAGUGACGGUACCUGCAGAAGAAGCGCCGGCUAACUACGUGCCAGCAGCCGCGGUAAUACGUAGGGCGCAAGCGUUAUCCGGAUUUAUUGGGCGUAAAGAGCUCGUAGGCGGUUUGUCGCGUCUAUCGUGAAAGUCCGAGGCUCAACCUCGGAUCUGCGGUGGGUACGGGCAGACUAGAGUGAUGUAGGGGAGACUGGAAUUCCUGGUGUAGCGGUGAAAUGCGCAGAUAUCAGGAGGAACACCGAUGGCGAAGGCAGGUCUCUGGGCAUUUACUGACGCUGAGGAGCGAAAGCAUGGGGAGCGAACAGGAUUAGAUACCCUGGUAGUCCAUGCCGUAAACGUUGGGCACUAGGUGUGGGGGACAUUCCACGUUUUCCGCGCCGUAGCUAACGCAUUAAGUGCCCCGCCUGGGGAGUACGG
rnacentral:rRNA from 1 species